rnacentral:rRNA from 1 species
UACGUAGGGUGCAAGCGUUAAUCGGAAUUACUGGGCGUAAAGCGUGCGCAGGCGGUUCGCUAAGACAGAUGUGAAAUCCCCGGGCUUAACCUGGGAACUGCAUUUGUGACUGGCGGGCUAGAGUAUGGCAGAGGGGGGUAGAAUUCCACGUGUAGCAGUGAAAUGCAUAGAGAUGUGGAGGAAUACCGAUGGCGAAGGCAGCCCCCUGGGCCAAUACUGACGCUCAUGCACGAAAGCGUGGGGAGCAAACAGG